rnacentral:lncRNA from 1 species
AGAAAACACGUGAAAUAUUUCAAAUAUUAUCAACCAUCAAAGUGUUACAUCAUAUAAUAACACACAUACAAAUGUGAUAGCAUCAAGUUUACAAUCAGAUAACAAGCUCCACAAGUGCAUAAUCACAUGAGCCAGAUUCUGCUACAUCAUAUAACACACAUACAAAUAGGAGCAGCAUAAAGGGCUUCAUUACUCUCAGAACUAGCUCCAAUGAGCUAGAACUACUCUUCCACCGACUUCUUUGUCCUGAUGCUCAUGAAGAAGCAAGAAAGCCCAGCAUCUACACCUUACAGAACAAAAUGUUUAGGAACAAAAUAGAAGUAAAUCUAACAGCAUAUUUAACAAUAAAUAACAGAAUAGUGAAGCUAAUGAGACAUUUUAGAAUCAACUUGACAGUUGACAGUAAUGUUUGCAUUGGACACAUCCAAAACUAAAAUUAUACAUAAAUGCCUAAAUUCCAAUGCCCAAUGCCUCAGUUUAGUAAAUCUGCAUAUUUCGACAAAUCUCAUCAUCCUAAAGACAACAAAGCCUGCUUGGUAAUAUUUUAGGCGUUAAUAAUGCUUUACUCAUAAAAGAACAUUGCCAAAGUGAUUAGAUGGCAUUCGAAAACUCAAAAGAUAAGCCAUAUAGCUUUGUUUAAUAUUACUAAGAUAUAUAUCCAUUAGUUUGUUUUAACAUGGAACCCAAGAGUAUGUGACUCUAGCACCCUCAGAAAAUUGUUAAUAUGCCAUCAUACUAGCUGAUAGACAAACAUUCCAGGAAGAAUAUAUGCUUGUUUAACAGGUACAAUUGGUACUGCUAUCUCUAACAGACAAAUUUAAAGUUUUUUAUACAUUUAUUUUCUAUUAGCAAAACUGAAUAUGCUACUUCCUGAUUCUUGGCUGCAUAGUCCAGCUAGCUACACCAGUUUGCUCUCAUGCAAAAAUUAGAAAGAAAAAAAGAACAACAAAUAAAUCAACACUGACUUCUCUAACAUGUACAGUAACUUGCUGAUAUAACUUUCUCCUAAUUGCAUUCUCAUAUGACGGGGCCAACAUGUGAUGUUACUAUUCGGUUAAGAUUUGGGCCUUCCAACUUUACUGGUCAUACAUACAUAUACAGAAUUGAGCAUGAAUCAUUGGUCUUAGUUGUAUUCCAAUAUGUACUCAACAUAUUCCAAUAAGACAGAAAUGCACACACAUGGAUUCACAAUUAGACUAUGCCUCUCUCUCUCACUCAUUUGCAAGAAACGUUCUCUCCCUCUCUCUACUGAUGACCAUCAACACAAUUCUGUAGGGUUGUAAACUGAUUUUUGAGAGAAUAGACAGUCAAUUUGUGUGCUGAUUGGACCUAGUUUUAAAGAAACAAAAAGGAUUGGCAGCAUAGGGAGAGGGAGAGGGAGAUGGAGAUGGACGUGCUACCUGCUACUGCGGGGGUGCAUCAUGGUGGCCUGCUUGAGCUCCUCCUCCUAAUGCUGCUCACUAACCUGCAGGACAAACAAGGCCAUAGGUGAGCUGCACAAAGGCAUUUCCUGAUGAUUUACUGAGUUCAUGGCCACCUAAAAAAAUAUUAGAGGGACAUGAUAAGGAGCUGUAAAAUACAAAGAGCCGCCUAGAACUAUACCGAAUAGUAAUGCAUUUAUUCAAGAAUAUGAAGUUCACCAAUUGUUCCAAAAAACAAGGAAAAAUACUUGUUGAUGUUUCAAGUGCAGUAGAAUAUAUGCAAGUCCCAAGCAUCAAGAUGACUACUGUAGUCGAUUGAUAGCAGUAAAUGUAUACAACACCUAACACUGCUUGACAAUUGAGGUAAUUAAACAUGAGAGAACUUAUUACAUAUGCUUUUCUUGAUCCAACGUUAUAACAUGUUACUGCUAUGCUAUUGUGAUUAAAAGAGUAAGAUUUGAUCAAGCCUAUGUCAUGCAUAACAGGAACAUAUUAUAAAAUACAGAAUGGUAGUUCGGUUGCUCGGUUCCAAGAAUGUCAGGGCCACCCAGCUAGCUAAGUUUGACAUUGCUUGGUUGGAGAAGCAUUACAUUUAUGUGGUGGUGGCUGGCUGGCAAUCAUGGCUGCUAGCUCAUGCUGCCAGUAUGCGUGCACAUCUCCCCACUGGAACCAACCCAACCCAAAUGAAACAACAGUAGCAAAUCACACAUGUACCAGUAAACUUCAGUAUGAAACAGUUUCUCGCCGAAAGAAACUACCAAAGCAUUUCCAAGAAUUUCGAAGAAACCGCCUAAGUCGAUUCAGCCACUUCACAAUGAGAUCGCUUUCGCCUACUUGCUGGUCUCGAGGUCGCCGUCGCCGCUCACCACUAGUAGUCUCUGGCCACUCUUCGUCGCCACUUGCGCCACCCAUGCACUCGCUGGUCACUGGCUGCGUCUUCCGCUCCCUGCUCGUUGACAUGGCCAAUGACCACAAUGUUGAUGUGGGUCUCGUCCCUUACCCAUGGCUGAAA